rnacentral:lncRNA from 1 species
UAAGACCCAUCACUAACUCGAACCUAAAUAAGGGCCCAUUAGCCAAAUUUGAACCAUUGGGUCCCCUUAUAGGCUGAGGCCAAAAUGAAAAACCCUUAUCUGUCUUCACCAACAGGGCAAGGCAGAGGCCCAUCCAAGUGGCUGGGCUUAGCAAGGCCACACAGAAUUGCAUGUCACAUGAGCAACGUGCCUGAGGCGAGUUGACUUGGCACUUAGGCUUGUUGGGAUAAGCCCUCUUUCGUGCAUGAGUGCACGUUCACUCGAGAAGGCAACACGACACAAGUGUGCUGAGCAAGCCCAUUCUGCAUGACAAUGUGCC